GAGCCCAGCUUGAAAAUCG
rnacentral:snRNA from 1 species